AAAAGUGUGGGUGAUCUGGUUGUGACAUGUGUCACUGCAUGGAUUGCCAGGGUUGAGUCCCCUGAUCUGCUUGUCUGGUUGACUAGACAGGUGUCCCCUUCCUGCCUCACUGCUCCAUGAGUGUCCCUCCAGUCUCCUGGAGCUUCGGACUGGGUGAAGAGGAUGAUCUUCCCUGAGAGAGGAGGACCCAUCUUUGGCCAAGUUAGCUGCUCUCCCCUGCUAGGAUCUCUAAACAAGCUCUCUAGGAAGCCGCCUGCCUCACAAAGGGAUUAUUUGAGAAAGGGUCAGAAGGCGGGGUGUAGGCUUAGGCCUGUCCUU
rnacentral:snRNA from 1 species